UCGUUGUGCUGAUUGGGGAAUGUGAUUUGUGAAGCGCUUGAGGUGAGAGAUUGAGCAGACACAAGCACUCGCAUUGG
rnacentral:SRP_RNA from 12 species